rnacentral:rRNA from 1 species
GACGAACGCUGGCGGCGUGCCUAAUACAUGCAAGUCGAACGCUUCUUUCCUCCCGAGUGCUUGCACUCAAUUGGAAAGAGGAGUGGCGGACGGGUGAGUAACACGUGGGUAACCUACCCAUCAGAGGGGGAUAACACUUGGAAACAGGUGCUAAUACCGCAUAACAGUUUAUGCCGCAUGGCAUAAGAGUGAAGGGCGCUUUCGGGGGUCCCUGUUGGAUGGACCCGCGGUGCAUUAGCUAGUUGGGGAGGUAACGGCUCACCAAGGCAACGAGGCAUAGCCGACCUGAGAGGGUGAUCGGCCACACUGGGACUGAGACACGGCCCAGACUCCUACGGGAGGCAGCAGUAGGGAAUCUUCGGCAAUGGACGAAAGUCUGACCGAGCAACGCCGCGUGAGUGAAGAAGGUUUUCGGAUCGUAAAACUCUGUUGUUAGAGAAGAACAAGGACGUUAGUAACUGAACGUCCCCUGACGGUAUCUAACCAGAAAGCCACGGCUAACUACGUG